AGAAGGGCGGGGGCUGUGGAUUGAUGAUGUGCCGGAGCCAAGCUGGACCUCGAGAGCCUGCGGUGACCAGACACUCUCCCUUCCUCCAGGGAGAAUGGGGCUGGAGAGAGAUUCCCUCUGCAGCUGCAAAUGCCCUCGGGUCCAUUGCCCAAGGAGAGCCGUCCUGGGCAGCACGAAGAGGACCUGUCUUGGAGCCAGGAGAUCCUACUGCGACGCCCAUUUUUGUCCUCACUAAGCAGUAGUACAGACCUAGGUAACUGCUCACAUUUGACGGGUUACAGGAUUUGGAAAAUGAGGGUGUUGCACUGGAUGGUAGCUUUCAGAAUGUCAUUAGCAGUCGAGCCACGUUUGCAAAUGAAAUCUUAUUCGUAUGACAGAUAAUCGUUAAUAUUCAUUGGGCUCUUACUGUUCCAGCCACCCUCCUGAACCUUCCAUGCAUUGAUGCACGUGCCCUGGGCCACACUGCGCCCAGUUGACAGGUGAGGACAAUGAACCAGAGAGCUGCAAUUUGCCCAACACAGAUGAAGCGGUUAAAAGCAUACUUUCCUGCUUGGCAGUGCGGAAAGGAAGGAAAUCGAGUUGCUCCGCUUCACCUUCUCCUGCUUCCUUGGCGUCUCUGGAAGGACCUCUGCAGAGUCCAAGGGUCUCCGAGACCAAGUUCAAAUCCACUGGAUGAAUGACCUCAAAGGGAGCUGGAACUGUGCUUUUCCAAGCCACUUUGCUCCUUCUGGUGGCUUGUCCAGGUGCCCAGCUCACGCCCCAAGCCUCCUGCUUUCUCCACACCUCACAGGCUCACCGGUGGACGUCCAGUUGUUCCAGCACCAUUUGUUGAAGAGACCGUCUUUGCUCAAUUGUCAAAGCUCAGGUGACUCUUGAUAGGGGUCCCUCUCUAGGUUCCCUAUUCUGUUACACUGAUCUACUUGUCUGCUCUCCAGCCAGCACCACACUGUCUGGAUCACUGCAUCUUGACAGUAAGUUUCGAAGUUGGGCAGCAUCCGGCCUCGUUCUUCUCCUUCAGUCCUUCGUUGGCUCCUCUGGGUCUCACCACUUUGGAUUUGCAUGGAUUCCCACAGGCAAAGCCACCUCUUCUCACUCUGUGGCUGGUCCUUCCCCAGGCUUCCUGGGAGUCAAGCUCCGAGCGUGUGUACCUGGUGUGCAUCCCACUUCACCUUCUCGAGAACCUCCUCUUAAAAAACCUCCUUUCUUCAGCUCUGUCCAUUCCCAUUCCCGAAACCAGAAGCUCAGACUUUCAGACAUGGCCUUGCUAAAAUGUGCAGGGGUUCCCAUGGAUUGGAGAACAAACGUGAAUUCCUCUUGCCUCUGAUGAACCUCGCUUGUCUUCCCUUCUUCAUCUCCUGCUUUCUCCCCUUCACCCUGGGCUGCAGCUGCACCGGCCUCUUUUCUGUCCCUUGGCCACACCGAGCCUCUCCCACCUUUGGACCUGGAACCUGCUGGCCUCCACCUGGAAGGCCCCUUCUCCCCCUCAGGUCACCCUCGGGUGCCACCUCUGCAGAGAAGACUUCCAUGACCAUUGCUGCAGAAGUAACCUCCCCACCUGCUUUCCAUCACCACCCUUUAUUUCCUUGAUAGCAUUUAUUGAAAGUAUCUCAUUAUCUUGCUUGUUUCUGUUAGUUUCCCCGCUAACUAGCUGUGUUGUUGAUGGAAUACAUAUGAGCCUCUGUAGGAUCUGGGGGCAGCCUGCUUCUAUCUGAAGAAAAAAUAUUUUUCUUUUCUCCUCCUCUGAAAACCCUCUUGGGAACCCUAAGGUUUUCAGACUUUGG